AUUGAACGCUGGCGGCAUGCCUUACACAUGCAAGUCGAACGGUAGUUUUUGGGGCUUGCUCCAAGAGUUAGUGGCGAACGGGUGAGUAAAGCAUCGGAACGUGCCCAAUCGGUGGGGGAUAACGUAGCGAAAGUUACGCUAAUACCGCAUACGUCCUGAGGGAGAAAGCAGGGGACUCGCAAGAGCCUUGCGCGAAUGGAGCGGCCGAUGUCGGAUUAGCUAGUUGGACGGGGAAAAGCCCACCAAGGCGACGAUCCGUAGCUGGUCUGAGAGGACGACCAGCCACACUGGGACUGAGACACGGCCCAGACUCCUACGGGAGGCAGCAGUGGGGAAUUUUGGACAAGUGGGCGCAAGCCUGAUCCAGCCAU
rnacentral:rRNA from 1 species